CUUCCUUCGGCCAAUGGGAAGCGCGGAGCGCGAGGCGGGCGGCGCCGAUUGGGCGGAAGCGGCGCGGUUGCCAGGCAGAAGACGCGGAGGCAUGGCGGGAGCGGCGCUGGGCGCGGGGCCGGGCGCGCUGCUGCUGGCGGGGCUGUGGGCGCUCGCGCUGCUGCUCUGCCUGCUGCUCGCACGCGCCCCCGGGGCCGCGCGGUAAGGGGGGGGUCCCGGGGGUCGCGGCGGGGCUGCCGGGGCGGUCGCGCGGUGCCGCGGGCGCCGCUGAGGCCUCGCGCCGCUCCGCCCGCAGGUUGGCCGCGCUGCCCGUGCCGCUGUGCGCCGCGCUGCUCAGCGCCGCGCUGCUGCUGUACCCGCGGGAGGACGGCAGCGCGGGGCCGCCCGUGGGCCCCCAGAUCGUGGACACCUUCCUGGUGGGCCGCCUGGUGCUGUUGGCCUUCAUGGCUCUGCUGCUGCUGGGCUGCGCGCUGCUGCUGGGGAUGCACCUCCUGGAGCCGACUCACGCCAAAGCGCUGCGCUGCUGGAGGUGACGCUGUGCCGUGGGAGCCCCUCCGGAGGGAUUUCGGGCGGCUGUGGGACUGAGCGGCCUCAUGGAUCCGCACUGCCUGUCAGUGGGAACGGGACGCGGGCCGGUUGGUUGGCUCGGUGAUCUGAGUGGCCCCUUCCAACCCCAAUGGCCGUUAUCCCUGUGAGCCCACCUGUCCCAGGGUCAGCCUGAGCCCUCGGUUGGUUUGAGUUAACACUUUAUCUCCUUUUUUGUCCUUUUAUUUUCCAAGGGGACGGAGGGAGGGUGGCUCCACUCUGCUUUAUUUCAGCAGGACAGAGGGAAAGUCGUCGAGGAGUGGAUCCCGUUUUCAUAGCAGUAAACCGGGUGACCACGUUGGGGCGUUGAUUUUUACCAAAUCCAUAUUCACAGGUUGUUCCUUGUUAAAAAACAAUACAUUAAUAAAGCUUUUGGAGGAAGCCUGACCCAGUCUGUAUCUGUUUUCCAGGAAUGGGAGCUCUGCAGCAUUUCGUGUUACUGAAAGCUGCCCUUCCUGUGCUUUCUGGGAGCUCCCCCCUUGCAGGGGUGGGUGGGCUGGGAUGCGCCCUGCGCUCUGCUCCCGGCUGUGCAACAGGGAUGUUGGCUCUGGGAGGUUCUGAAGUUGAGCCCAAAACAAAAUUUGUAUUUAUCCUCCAUCUUAACAACACUGAGAGCAGCAAGCAGUUCCCCAAGCCUCGCUGCUGCCGUCGCGUCCCACAAAGAGGGAAGCUGUGGCAAAGCAGCUGAAGCACCAAGAAAAGCCCUAAAAGCAGAAGUGUGAGGCUUCUCUCUGGAAAUAAAUGCGGAACGUCUGCUCUCUGCUCCCCUCAGUCACCUGUUUGCGACUAAAAUCGGUCAUUGGACUCCUCCUGGGGGCGCUCGGGGGGACCAGAAGACAGACCCCAUCGGUGUCCUGUGCCCCCUCCGGGGGUGCUCUGAUGGCCGCGGGCACUGCGGUGUUAUUUGUGCUGGGCGCAGCACUGCAGCUCCGCUCCCCCCCACGGGGAUUUCCAGGCAGCUCCUGUUUAUUUGUGGGAAGGAAGGAGCACAUCAAGGAGCCGCUGUGAGCCGGAGCUGCUUUCCAAGCUUUUGCUGCCGUCCCCCACCCGAACCAAAAACGAUCAUCUCAGCGGUCUCUUCCAUCCCUUACAGUUCUAUGAUUCUGUGAUCCUGCGUUGCUGGCCGGAUGCUGGGAUUCAGGGAGAUGUCAUCACCCUUUUCCUGCUGCCAGCUCUCCUGCAGGUGAUCCGCGUCCCACCCGGGGGCAUCGCGCUAAAUGCCAGCAGGAGAACCCCCGCACCGGGACCGCCGGCAGCGGCAGCAGCGGGCUGGGAGCUGCUCAGGGGCUGCGGGGACGGCAGCCCUCCCUGCGCCAACCUCUGCCCGCUCAUUAGGAAGGCGCGGGGCUGCUCCGCCGCGGCGCAGGAGAAUCUCCUGGUCCUGAUUUAAGGUCCGUGAGUGACGGCAAUUCCUCACGCCUCGCGCCGCGCUCUGCUGGCGUUUAAUUACUCUCGCUGGCACAGAACUGGCCUCUGAUUUCCACCUUGACUUUGCUGACUUCAGCUUCCCGCUGUCGAGCCCCGCUUUGCCUUUGGCUGCUAAUUAAAAAGCCCUUCAGCGCCCGCCGGCUGCUCCUUGCGCGGGUAAUUACGGGCCGUGCCCGAAGCACCCCCUCACCUCCGCAGAGCCGCACGGCGCCGAAGGCGGCGCGGCCGUUCGUGGCACGGCUCGGAGAGCGGCACCGCGGGGUCGCGCACGGAAGGGCACCCAGGGGCGGCUGCUGGAGGGGAACUCGGGGCCGCCCCCCACGCGUGCCCAAAGCACCGCUCGGCGUGCCCUGAAAUCCCGGUUUUCCCGAGCAGAGCAGCACGAGCUUCUUUGUGCACGGCAGCUGUGGUGGGGCCCGGGCUGCCG
rnacentral:lncRNA from 7 species